CUGGAACCUAGGAGGCUUCCUGACAGGAGCUGUGGCCUUCGGCAGUGGAAGAGAAGGAGGUGGGAAAUAAACCCUAAACCUCACUUUCCUCCUGUCUUUGGUUCUCCUACUGGUGACUCCCAUUGGACAAUCCUAGCUGGAAACCAGAAUGCCGAGGAGCUGUGAACACAGGCCAGACUGUGGGUUCCAGGCAUCAGAGCAGGGCUAGUGAGGGAAGUCUUUCCUGCCAGGAGAUGUUCAUUGAAGUGCAGACUGCUCGGAGCCACACCGCAGGCUGGCAGAGGAAGUGUCUCGGUGUUGCCUUGGCCCGUUCACCCCCUGCCAGGCCAGUAGAGGAGCUGAAGAGUCUUCGCCAUGGUUUGAGAAAAAGCUUAUAGAGGCCUGAGGCUGGAGGCAGGGGGAUCAGUGAGGAGGCUGCAGCAUCAGUCCAGUUUUACCAGGUAUACUUGUUUCACCGGGGAAUAGGUCUGUAGAACUCACACUGCCAUCCAGGAAGUGAAACUCCCCGGUACAGGCAUACCAUGGACAUAUUUCGGGUUCAGCUCCAGACCACCACAGUGAAGUGAAUAUUGCAACUAAGCAAGUCACGCAUGUUUUUUCUUUGUUUCUCAGUGAAUAUAAGCAUCUCCAAGCCUCUCUCCAAGUUCGCUCCAGGGCUUGCGAGAAACAAAGUGCUCUCCCUCAGCCCCAGCUCCUCGCACACCCAGUGGAAAGAAAACACUUGCUGUAAUUGGAAAGCCCCGAGAAGGUUGAGAGCACUUUUGUUUUCUUCAUCUCUGCGUCCUUAUUUCUUGGAACACUACCUGGCAAACCAUGGGUGCACCAUGCAGCAAGUUAAGGUCGCCGAAGUAGAAUUGCGUAUUAAGCCAGUGUCUCCAUCCAGACUUUUUUUUAGCAAGCAUACCUUAGGAAACUGAACUUCGCUUGAAACUGAAACUACCCUCCCAAAAUCAUCUCCAAGGUAGGUAAAAUUUUAAUUAGUUUAAUUUUCAGAAGUGCCUUAAAAAUUAUUCUGUUACGAAUUGACAU
rnacentral:lncRNA from 1 species